rnacentral:lncRNA from 1 species
AACAGCAUUUGCAGCAGCCAACAACUCUUCAUGCUCAUCAUCUGAACUAAAUAAAGAAUUGAAAUAAAAAGAAACAAAAGAAAUAGAAAAAAGAGUGCUCUACACAUUCUGGAACUCCUAUUCUAAGAGAACAAAAUUAAAUAUUUAGAUCAAGAGUCAAAAUUUAUUCAUAAAGAAAAUUGAGUGUGUAUUAGCUACAUUGUGCAUUUGACUUAUAUGAAGCUUCCUAUCAGAGAGCUUCCUAGUAGAUGGUCCACUUGCCCCCAUUGAACAAAAUGUUCAUCAAGUUAUAAGAAUUUCUCAAACUAAUGAAGAUAUCAGCUCUCACUAAGAGAAGAGCAUAUAUAUAUAUAUGAAAAAGGGGAAUUAUAUUGAACUUCUCAUUCUUUUCAAAACCAAAUCUCGAACUUCUUAUUUGUUUGGUUAUUCCAUCAUUUCCAUUUGUACAAUCAAAAUAGAUUUUUCCACUUUUUAGAAAAAUAAACAUGCAUUUAACCUAUUUAAUUUA